rnacentral:miRNA from 1 species
CAAAGCUGCUUGGUACCUAACU